CUCCCCCUGAAAGUCCUGACCCAAAUUCAACAAUUGGACAGGGCACUGGGUUCAUUACUAGAAUGGCCAGGUGAGAAAUCUCUUGUGAGACAUUAAAUAUGAAGUUUUAAAUCUGCACUGUGUCAUUUUUUCACUAUGUAGAAUGGAAUUGGAACAAAUUACAGAAAAAAACAACUCUGCCAAGUCUUUGAAUCUGCAUAAAGUUCUGAGAUUGAAAACUCUGAAUAGACUUAUUUUCUGCAUGUUCUUCAUAAUGUUUUCACAGCUUGCUGUUUCCCUUCUCUUGUUUUUCUGUAAGUCCUGCAAAUGCAAAAAAUCCCAACCAUCAUAGAUUCAUGCUGACUCACAUGUGACUUGUCUACCAGCACCAGAUGUGCAUGAUGCUUGCUGUUUCCCUUCUCUGUUUUUCUGUAAGUCCUGCAAAUGCAAAAAAUCCCAACCAUCAUUCCUUGAGACAUACAGAGAAGAAUGAAAACGCUGCUUCAGUUUUAAGCUUCAAGGUUUGUGCUGUUUGUGCAUUCUGUUUGUGUAAUUCUUCAAAACUUGUCAAUAACGGUUUUAACUGUUCAUUUACGCUGUAUGAGUGUUUCAAAUUCAUACUAAUAUUUCAAAUGGUUGCUUUGGGUGAAAAUUCCUUUUGUUGCAUGUCACUCUCGGUAAGCCUGAAAUUACAUUGUAUGUUCUAUUAUGUUGUUACCUGAAUAGAGUCGUUAGAACAGCGAGUUUUGUUGGCUUUUUAGUGUUUCUGUGUAUCCGAGUGUGUGCAUGUUGUUGCAGCGUUCACUAAAUUGAGUGUGUGUGGGGCAGACCACUCUCAAGAAGGUGAGGUCAUCGGCCAAGGCUAUACACGCCCGAUCCUCUUGUCUCAAAAUCCACACCUGUUUCUGACUGCCUUUGCAAAUUAUUACAGGAUCAAAGAAGAAUUAGUUGAAGCUCUCCUGUAUCUGUCAAAGACUUCUAACUUUGGGAUCAUGACUCAAGAAAAUGCCCAGAUUUAUCUCUGUGGUUUUUAUUUUCAGAGGUUACGUAUCGCUGUAACCUGGAGACCAGUAGAGUCAUGAAGAAUUAGAUUAUUAAUACAUCCGCUUGCACUUUAUAGCAGCUGCCAAAACAACAGGAAAGGACAUGGCCUCACGUUUUCAAUUGAUGAGCUGAUUAUAUUAAUAUCUCGACCUUUAAACCUCUGUGUCAAUCAAGCUCUGAAGUUUUUUUGAGAAGCUGGCCCUGUAUAAAUCUUAAUAUCUUUUUAUAAUCACACUCCAUUCUGUGAUUAAAAACCCUGGAGACCUUGAAGUAUGAAUCAUGCUGAGCGUGUGUGUUGUGGGGAGGUGGGUUGAGAGGAUGUUGAAUUAUGUCAUCCAUUCCUUUUCCAAUGACAUAAUGAAUUGUGCGUGUUAGAAAGUGAAUGGAUUAAUAGUAGUUUGCUAGUAUAGUCAGCACCCAGGAAUGCACUGUAAAGGAUUUCAAUUUAGCUUUCGUACUAAAAUAGCAUCAGGAUCAAUGACCACAUCAGCAUCAACAACAACAUUUACAUGCACAUCAUUUUUUUAAUGAAUACUUUUAUUCAGCAAAUUAAAUUGAUCAAAAUUAACAGUAAAGACUGACAAUGUUUCAAAACAUUCUUAACGUAAAUUAUUCUUUCUAUCCAUCAAAAAAAAUGGAUCAUGAUUUCUGCAGCACAACAGUUUUCAACUGAUAAAAAUAAAUGUUUGUUGAGCACUAAAUCAGCUUAUCAGAAUGAUUUCUGAAGGACCAUGUAACACUGAAGUAUAUAUACUGUCUAAAACUUGGUAUUACAAGCACUUCCUGUGUCUGUUUGCCUCUUUAAGAAGAAUCACUUUAUGUAUCCCCCAAUUGUAAUUCGUUUUGGAUAAAAGCAUCUGCAAAAUGACUAAAUGUGAAUACAGUGUACAUUCUAGUGAAGCCUUUAAAAAAGUCUAUUGGAAUAUUGCUCUAUAUACUCAGAACCAUUCAAAUACUAAGCCAUGACAUGUUCACUCUUUGCAUGCUCUUCAGGAAAUAAUAAGGAUGCUAACCAUUAAUUCUCAUUUAUUUACUUAACACAGAAGAAUGCAAUGAAAUACAAUCACAACAUGGUUGGUAAUUAACAGGGGUUUGGGGGGGGUUAAUGAUUCAGUUGAAUGUAUGAUUCAAAGACUCAUUUAGCUUAUUAGGACAGUGACUUGCACCCCACCCACCCCAUCAUUUAAUUUCAUUUCCCAACAUUUUAUAUUUAAAACUCAUAGUAUUAUUUAUACAGUUGUAAUGCAGUGUAAAUGCAUUUAUGUAACUUCUGAGUUGCAUUAAACAGUGUAAAUAUCUUAAGUACCAAGUCAAAUGCAGCUUCAGCAGUGCAAAGAUCAUUGGAAUGGUAACAGACCUGUAGUUUAUUAUUUUUGUUGAAUUGAUUUAUUGAAUGUAUGAAUUUGAAAUAAAAAAAUGAACAUUAAAGAUAGAAAAUGUGUAAAGUAAAAAAAAAAUAGUUACCU
rnacentral:lncRNA from 1 species